rnacentral:rRNA from 1 species
GACGAACGCUGGCGGCGUGCUUAACACAUGCAAGUCGAACGGUAAGGCCCUUCGGGGUACACGAGUGGCGAACGGGUGAGUAACACGUGGGUGAUCUGCCCUGCACUUCGGGAUAAGCCUGGGAAACUGGGUCUAAUACCGGAUAGGACCACUGCCUGCAUGGGUGGUGGUGGAAAGCUUUUGCGGUGUGGGAUGGGCCCGCGGCCUAUCAGCUUGUUGGUGGGGUGAUGGCCUACCAAGGCGACGACGGGUAGCCGGCCUGAGAGGGUGACCGGCCACACUGGGACUGAGAUACUGCCCAGACUCCUACGGGGGGCAGCAGUGAGGAAUAUUGCACAAUGGGCGCAAGCCUGAUGCAGCGACGCCGCGUGAGUGAUGACGGCCUUCGGGUUGUAAACCUCUUUCAGCACCGACGAAGCGCAAGUGACGGUAGGUGCAGAAGAAGGACCGGCCAACUACGUGCCAGCCGCCGCGGUAA